GAAAAAAAGAUAUGCUCAGGAAGGAAGUCAGCAGGCUCCAAGAAGAGGUCAUACACAUGGACGAGCUUUUCAAAGGCGCCUUAGAAGGACGGCUCACACUCAAGCCGACACAGACCUCCUGUAGGACCACCUAAACAAGGAAAUGGAAAAUGCAACACGCUGCAGGUAUGCUGCCUUGACUGAUCAUUAUACCUUACAGCAGUCUUUCUCAAACUGUGGUAUGCUAGUGGUACUUGGGCUCUCUCUGAUGGUAUGCUGAAAUCUCCAUUUUUUUUAAAGAUUAAAUAAAUACCAUUGUGCAGGUAUGCAAAGACGACACGAGAGUUACCGAGGCUCUUCUGGGAGCCGGAGUGGACCAGAAAACGUCUCCCCGAGCGUGAGUCCUCUAUGAAGAGCAGCCUUUCCUUAUCGCCAGCGGUCACGGUCGCUACAGAGCGCUGGCCUUAAAACUGCAGAGGCGGGAGGCGCUGUCACUCUGAUGGUAAAAACACAGCUGCGAUCCCAGCCACCAUGGAUGAGUUGGAGGCCCCCGGGAGAAUCGUGGGGGCGCGGGAGAUGCCGUCGGUGAGUCCGGGAACUAUCGCCUGGAUGCCGAAGCUCCUGGUAGCCAGGAGAAUGUGACCCGCUUCUUCUGCGAGUGAGCGGUAAUCCUUCGCAGCCAGCAGCGGGGAGUUGGUGAGGCCAGGUUGCACCGGCAUCUGUCGGAGGAAGACGUGAGUGAAGAGGAAUCCGCCGUCAUCCGUUCCUCGCAAGGACAGCGUGCUCUCCAUGAGCUCGAGAGCGGCACCAUCACCCAGGCCCGAGAGAGAGGAGUUUCUCGGCCGCUCUGCAUCGGAGAGGGAGUAGCGGUGCAGCAGCUCUUUAAGAGCGGUGUAUUUCCCUUGGGUGGGGGGAUCCCGGAGGAGGGGCAUCACACGCCGGGUGGACAGCGGAUCCAUCAAGGCCACCACAUGAUGGUAUUGUGUCGUCGGCUGAAACGCCACGAAGAGCAAACUGACCUUCGACGUGCACGAACCGCGAAGGAGGGUCGUGAAGCCAAAAAUCCGGCAGUUUAACCGCCACAGCAAAAAUUCAAUCGUACAGCUCUGCUGUCACUUCCUAUGGAAGCCCGUUGCCGCCACUGAAAAUUUCGAUUUAUCUCUGUCGAAAUUAAGAGAAAAGUAACUCGAAAUUUUGACUUUUUCAGUUAAAAUUUUGAGAAAAGUAACUCGAAAAUUCGAGUGAGCGCCGCCAAUCAGUAAUCUACGUUAAUGACAUCAUUUCCUUGUUACCCGGAAGCUGAAGCCCUAAGCUACAAUUUUUUUUAAUUGCACAAAUAUAUCAUGUACAACAAAUAUGACAAUCUUUACAAAGAGUUUUUUUUUUUUUGUCAACUUGAAAUAGUACCAGAACAGGCCUGUUUCAACAUAUAUAGAAGACAGAGAAUGAACAGGAAAUCGAACCAACAACACCAACAAAAAAAAGCCACAAAUGCUACAGCUAAGCUACCAGUAUUACAGCCUGUCAUGAAUGCACAAAUUGCUGAUUACUUUCUGUGUGGCCUCACAAAUGAUGAAAUCCUUGUGUUAUUGACCCUGUGCACGAGAAAAUGCUAACUUCCUGGUUUGAGACCGGAUGUGGGGUUGUACAUUUCCGGUAGCUUUACUUUGCGGUCAAUCGCUACUGCGAAGAUAUACUCCAAAAUCAUGUCCAAAACUCGAAAACGGAAAGAUCGUGUUAAGUUACAAAGAGGAGAAGGUGGGAACACUCACCACUGUUGUGUCAUAAAAAAUCUAAUGAUCAAUUUUGACGUUUAAAGAGUUUAGAUCGAUCAGUUGUUUACAUCACUCAACACAAGCAGAACUGCAUUACUGCAUGCAGAAGACAUUUAAACAGGCAAAUGUUCAGCAUUCAAACUACAGGUGAACAAUAGUCAAACCAGAUGUUUCCCCAUUAUGUCGAUAUCAGCUAGUCAAGUACACACCUACACAGCAAAAAUUUCAAAAUUACAGUGGUCCCUCGCUAUAACGCAGUUCACCUUUCACCUCGCUGUUUCGCGGAUUUUUAGUGCAAGUUUGCAUGCUUUUUUUUUUUUUACAUCACAUUGUGUCCUGCCUCCUGAUCGGCUGCAGACGAUCUCCUCCGUGAUGUCUCUCCUGUACAGUACAGAAUCGCUGCAUCGAUCGCUAGCAGUGUGACUCUGAAGUGCAGUACUGUAUGUCCACGAUGUCCAUGCGUCAAAAAAUAAAACUGGCUACUUGAUUUCACCCAUCGCUGGUUAUUUUUAGAACAUAACACCCGCGAUAAACGAGGGACAGCUGAGAAAUAUAACAUUUGAAUCCCUUUUCUCUUUUGCUCUGAGGCGUGGGGGAAAAAUAUCGACAAGUCGAUGAACAUCAUUUACAGAUAUAUUGGGUAAAUGCCCAAGACAUCUAUAGAAAUGUAAAUCGCCGCUUGAUUCAUUCAUUUGCUUAACUUGUUUUGGACCUUAAACAAGGCGCGAAUAGGACACCGGAAACAAAGCUCCCCACAGGAGUUUCCGCACCGGAAGCAGCAUAUGCUAACGUGCACAUAGUCAAUUAGCUGAAUCACAUAGCGUUACUAUCAGCAAACGCACUCGAAAGCGCCGGUUGCGAUCCGGUUUUGACUGCGUAUUGCUCCCCGCCAUAUCCUUCUGGGUAACAAGAAAAUGACGUCAUUCACGUAGAUUACUGAUUGGCAGAGCUAACUCGAAAUUUCGAGUUACUUUUCUCAAAAUUUCGAGUUAAUAACUCGACAUUUUGGUAAAAUAACUCAAAAUGUCGAGUUAUGGAUCCUUUUUUUUUUUUGUGGCGGAAACGGGCUUCCAUAGAUGGGCUUCCAUACACGGGCUUCCAUACACUUCCAACAUAAAGUCAGGAGAACAACUGCAAUAUAAGAGGAGCUUGCAUCCACUAAGAGCAGCAGGAAGAAAGUCAGGAAACAAAUGCUCCGAAGGAAAAAGUGAAAAACCUCAAAGCAAACAGACACUCAAAGAAAGGAAGACGAAGAAGAGAAAGGAAAGGAGGCAAAACAAAAGAUGAGAGAAGAAAUUCACUGAAACAUCACUUGAUGAUUGCACAAAAACUCAGAUCUGCCAAACGGUACACCUUGCACAAAGCUUUGGACCUCAUUACAGCACCAGUUGAAGAUGGAGGUUUGGUCCACUCAUCCAGUCUGGGUUCUGCCAACUUCAUUGAAGGGAUAGAUCUUUGCCAUGAAAUGUAUGCAUAUAUUCAUUAAUAUUGUUUGUUUUGGGGGUUUUUUAGUUGGAGAAAAGCAGGAAAAAAAUCUUCAGCAAAUAUACAGCAUCAUUAUUAUUAUUUGCAUAAUCAUGAUGAAGGAACUGACCUCCCAGCCCAUUGUUCCUUCAGUGGGCUGGUUUCAGUCAUUAUGCAAAUGUACGAAUGUAAGAUUGGGGAAACCUGCAGUCAGCUGAGACUGAAAACGUCCAGAUGAACAGAAUCAACCUUUGAAGAUUUACUUACCUGGAUGAUUGAGAAUGCAUCAAGACAUUAUUAUUAUUAUUGUUAUAUCACUCUUGUGCUGGACAGAACACAAUGGAUAACUUCUUCCAUGUGCAGCAUUGAUGAUGUUGAAGAAGAAGAAGGAACUGGGGUCUCCAGCUCCACUGAGGCAGCCUGUAACCUGGAGGAAGGCAGAUGGAGAGGAAGUAUGGUAGCAGCCAAAGACAGAAGUGCCCUGAAGCAGUACAUAAAGAACAAGCCAACAAAGUGGCCAAUUUGAUGUAGACGUGCAAAAAUAUGAUCACAAGUGCUUUACAAUUAAUGGCACAAAGUGUGUUUGAAGGGAAUGAAUGACAAACUGAUGUGUGUAUUAAACACAUUCAAUAUUAAACUGUAAAUCUGUCCUCAGUAGUUUUCUUCUCUGCCAGCUCAAACUCUGUCAGCUGCGUUCCCGGUGGGAUAUUGAACCUGUUUGGACGUUUCUCUACACAACAAAACAUACAAAUACAAACAGCAAAAGCCAAACUGCUGCUGUAGUCCUCUCAUGGAGCUGCAGCAGCACUGAAAAGCUUCUUAGAAUGAUUUACCUGCUGAAAUAAAAUAGUCAUAAAUACAACAUAUAAUGUUAAA
ensembl:lncRNA